GGAUUAGUACGCUGGUCGUGCCUUCGGUACGUACUGGUGUUACUGAUUCCUACCUUCUGACGAACCGUCAUGUCAUUAAUUUGAUGUGGCGGGGAAUCAGGACUGUUACUUUGAAAAAAUUAGAGUGUUUAAAGCAAGCAAACGCUUGAAUACAUUAGCAUGGAAUAAUGAAAUAGGACGUUCGAACCUAUUUUGUUGGUUUCUAGAGUCGCCGUA
rnacentral:rRNA from 1 species